rnacentral:rRNA from 1 species
CCUACGUGAGGCAGCAGUGAGGAAUAUUGGUCAAUGGGCGCGCGCCUGAACCAGCCAAGUCGCGUGAAGGAUGACUGCCCUACGGGUUGUAAACUUCUUUUAUAAAGGAAUAAAGUGAGGCACGUGUGCCUUUUUGUAUGUACUUUAUGAAUAAGGAUCGGCUAACUCCGUGCCAGCAGCCGCGGUAAUACGGAGGAUCCGAGCGUUAUCCGGAUUUAUUGGGUUUAAAGGGAGCGUAGAUGGGUUGUUAAGUCCGUUGUGAAAGUUUGCGGCUCAACCGUAAAAUUGCAAUUGAUACUGGCAGUCUUGAGUACAGUUGAGGUAGGCGGAAUUCGUGGUGUAGCGGUGAAAUGCUUAGAUAUCACGAAGAACUCCGAUUGCGAAGGCAGCUUACUAAACUGCCACUGACAUUGAUGCUCGAAAGUGUGGGUAUCAAACAGGAUUAGAUACCCCUGUAGUC